AUGCACCAUGUGAGUAGGGUUCGAGGCCUGGAGACUCAACUGGUGUGGGCCAUCUCCAGGGAGACAGCCAGACUUAGUUCAGAGGGCAUCCCCUACUGUGCCACCAAGGUUCAGUCCGUCACUUGGAUCCUGUAUGUGGCUGGCAGGGUGACCCAGUAUGCUUCUCACCUCCGCCAUGAGACGUCUGUGGACGUGACCCUUGGCUGCUACCAGGUAAAUAUACAUUUUCUUAUGUAUAUUGAACAGAAAUUAUUGGGUGUUUUUCCUUUAGAUAUGCUCUGUUUUCUAAUAAUGCGUGUGUGUGGUAAACAGGUGUGUUGUGUGUGUUUUUGGAGCAGCAGACUGAUGUCUCGGUGGUGUAUGCCACUCUCCACAUGGGGCCGGAUGGGCUGCUCUCCUCCUCGGUGUGGUCGGAGGCUGCCUCCGUGUCUACGCCCACCAAUCAGCAGUUCACUGAGCCAGAGCCUGAAUGCCACAACUGCUAUGAGGUCAGAUGUUGCACACACACCUACAGUACACAUACUAUUGACUAGUAGCAUUAAGAUCCUUCCAUUGACCCAUUGUUUGUCAUGUCAUUGCAUUGGUCACUGAUGUUGAAUGUUUGUUCUGUUGUUGUAGGGCUGGGAGGAGGACCUGCUGCCUGAGGAGAGGGAGGUUCCUCUGCUAAAGUGAGUUCCUCUAAAUGUCUGUGUAGUCUGGGCUUGCCAGAUGCUGAAGGAUAGUGGUCACCAUGCUGUUAUCCCCAUUGACCCUAAUGGUUGACAUGCUCCAUUCCCUCCCUCCCACAGCCUCUACCUUACCACCAAGAGAGUGGAGGACAUCGCCUUGAGGCUCGUCUCCCUGCGCCAGGCCUUCACUGUGAGUGGACUUCCUUUUUCCUUUUCUCUCUGUGUCUUCUUGUUCUGUCUGUCUCCAAGAGGAAGAUGGGUGUCUCACUAACUCUUCCCUCUUCUCUAGACCCUGCUUGGUUCCACCCUGAGCAGGAACCAUCUGUUUGUGGCAGGAAAGGUCCUAUUGGGCGCACUGGUUCAAGCCCACCACAUGGUAGCUCACUAACUCAUUAUUCAUUCAAGGGAAAGAGAGCGUCCUCGAUGGGAAAUGUGUUCUGUUCACUAACGUCAAUGCUCUUUGCUUUGUGAUAGGACGAGGCCGAAUUCAUCCGUGCCUAUAACGACUUUGUGGACUACCUGAGUGACCCCUCCAAGCAGAUUGACAUUGAGAGGGAGCUGGCUGAGGCAAAGGUGAGUUCAUUAACUCUUUCAAGUCUCACUUUGAGUUCUUCCACAUGCAUGUCUUUUAUACAUCACAGUAGCUGAUCUAUUUGAAAUCAUUCCUAUUUUCUCCAAACGUGUUUUCUUGUCCUAGAUCCAUCAUGUUAACCUGAUAGAUGUCCUUUUUGAACUGGUGCUAUUUGGGCUGAUGACAGCUCAGAAGUCCCUGAUGGUGGUAAGUAGCAUCUCACUGGUACAUGUUUCGAUGUCUCUCUAUUUGUAAUUUCACUUAAACUUCUCUCCUCUGUUUCCAUUAGCACCCUGGUGGGUUCAUGGAGCGUCUGUACGCUCUCCUGUACUCCUUCCUGCCCGUAGCUGCCAGCAUUGAGCCAAAGGCCGAGAGAUACCUGCUGCUGCUCAAUGUAAGAUUCAAGAGUUUACUUCCCUAUUCCUAGUUUACUUCCUCUUUACUUUUUCAUGAAUAACAGGGUUUCAAUGCCAUUUUACAAGGAGUAACUCUCAUUGUCUCUCUGCUCUUGAUAAGCUAGUAACUCAGAGCCAUUAUCUAUGUGUUGUGUGGUGUUCUCUUCAGGGCGGGCUGAUGGCUCUGCUUGAUGACAUGUUUGGGCAGCAGCUGGCCUGGUACUUUAACCCAGUGUCUCUGGUCACUGAGCUCUCCAACCUCCUGGAGUACCACCUGGAGAACCUCAUGGCCAGCAUGUAGUCCUACUGCAGAGAUCUGAAAGGCCACAUUUCUCUCUCUUUCUCUUUCUCUCAGGAAUUGAGGACUUGAAGUGCUUCACUGAACCCUGAUUAGUUAACACCCAUUGAAUUAAUGUAUUCUCUUGUUUUCUCUCCCCACAGGAUUCUUGCGACACUUUGCCACCACACAGGGGUCUAGACACAAAUGCACUACAUUACUUUGCACUGAAUUUUACAUUUUUAAAUAAAAUAACUAGUAGUUCAAAAGCAUUUGUCUCUGUCUUUUCAUUUACUUGAUUAUUUCAUCACUAUUUCCUAUUCCUGGAGUUAUGAGGCUAAUAUUACACUAUUACAUGAACAAUUAUGCAUUAUUCUUUUCAUAUGGAAAUGAAAAACAAAGUUUAGGUGAUUUACAGGUACUACAGGCCCACACUUUAUGGCUUUGAAUUGUGAUGUGUGAUUCUGUACUAUUUCAAAAUAUGUAGGCCUACAUACACUGCGUUUACAAAACAUUAAGAACACCUUCCUAAUAUUGAGUUGCACCCCCUGUUGCUCAGAACAGACUCAAUUUGCUGGGACAUGAACUCUACAAGGUGUCCACAGGGAUGCUGGCCCAUGUUCACUCCAAUGAUUCCCACAGUGGUGGACCAUUCUUUAUACACAUACUACCUUACACCGUUCAAAGGCACUUAAAUAUUUUGUCUUGCCCAUUUACCCUCUGAAUGGCACACAUACACAAUCCAUGUCUCAAUUGUGUCAAUGCUUAAAAAUCUUUCUUUAACCUGUCUCCUUCCCUUCAUCUACACUGAUUGAAGUGGAUUGAACAAGUGACAUCAGUACGGGAUCAUAGCUUUCACCUGGAUUUACCCGGUCAGUCUGUCAUGGAAAGAGGGCGUAUAGUAUAAAGUCGACCACUAGAGGGCACAAUUGCUUCAGUCUUGAAUGUAACUUCUCACUAUCGGUACUCUACAUUAAGAGUCUGCCAUUGUAGACUCAGGUAUCUUGGGUAUUUUUGUUUCAAUUUGUCAUAUUUCCCAUUAAUGUCUGAGCCAUUUAGCAUCUUUCCAACUGAAAACUAUGUUAGCGUUCAUGUGAGUGGGUGUAGUAGUGCAUACUGACCACUAGUUGGAUCAUAGCGUGGUUAGUGGUGUUCAUGCAGGAACCCAGAGGAUUUAGGCAUUCUCCAUCACAGUAGAAGGCUUGUUAUCCUUUUUCUAACUAGGCAAGUCAGUUAAGAACAAAUCCUUACUUACAAUGACGGCCUUCCCGGGAAACAGUGGGUUAACUGUCACGUUCAGGGGCAGAAUGACAGAUUUUUACCUUGUCAGCUCGGGGAUUGGAUCCAGCAUCUUUCGGUUACUGGCUCAACACUAACCACUAGGCUACCCGCCGCCCCAAAUCCACGCCCCUGUCUUCAUUUAAAAAGGUAUCUGUGACCAACAGAGGCACAUCUGUAUUCACAGUCAUGUGAAAUCCAUAGAUUAGGGUCUAAAGAAUGUAUUUGAAUUGACUGAUUGCCUUAUAUGAACUUUAACUCAGUAAUAUCGUUGAAAUUGUUGGAUGUUGCGUAAAAAAUUUUGUACAGUGUAGAUGCAUACUAUUUAUCUGCAUAUUGCCAGAUUAUUGCUUUCAACUGCUGGUUGCAAAGGUAUAUCUUUUGGAACAAAGGUAGUGAAGUUUAUUAAAAUGAUGUAGAAUAGAUGGGUUGCCACAGGUAUACACAGGUCUUGACCACCAUGUCUUCAUGCUUCUUUAGGAUCACGUUGUCGUUGUAGAAGAGUCUAGAGAUGGGACUGAGCUUGGUGGGAACCUCACCCGGCUUCAAAAGGUGAACCUGCCAUGAAAAAGUUCAAUCAGAUUUAUUCAUACAUACACUUUGACAUAAUCAAUGAUAAUAAUAUCCUGUUUAUAAAAGAGGUAUGAUUAUUAUGCAGAUCCUACAGUGCUCUCCAACCUCAGUGGGCUUUGGCUUCGCCCCCCUUGUCUGAAUGUGGUCAUAUGUUUUAACCCUGGUUGUCUGUGCUCCACAAGUCUUUAUAGCCCACUGAGCCAAAGCCUAGACUUUCAGAAGUUCAACAACAACUUCCAUGAAACAAGCUAAAACAUUUCAAUGGGCCAUUGACC
rnacentral:lncRNA from 1 species